AUUGAACGCUGGCGGCAUGCCUUACACAUGCAAGUCGAACGGCAGCACGGGUGCUUGCACCUGGUGGCGAGUGGCGAACGGGUGAGUAAUACAUCGGAACGUACCUUAUCGUGGGGGAUAACGCAGCGAAAGCUGUGCUAAUACCGCAUACGCCCUGAGGGGGAAAGCGGGGGAUCGAAAGACCACGAGCGACUAGAGCGGCCGAUGACUGCUCAGCUUGUUGGUGGGGUAAAAGCCCACCAAGGCGAAGAUCAGUAGCUGGUCUGAGAGGACGAUAAGCCACGGUGGGACUGAGACACGGCCAAGACUCCUACGGGAGGCAGCAGUGGGGAAUGUUGGACAAUGGGGGCAACCCUGAUCCAGCAAUGCCGCGUGAGUGAAGAAGGCCUUCGGGUUGUAAAGCUCUUUUGUCAGGGAAGAAACACCGGCUCUAACACAGUCCGGGAAUGACGGUACCUGAAGAAUAAGCACCGGCUAACUACGUGCCAGCCGCCGCAGUAA
rnacentral:rRNA from 1 species